rnacentral:rRNA from 1 species
CCUACGGGGGGCAGCAGUAGGGAAUCUUCCACAAUGGGCGAAAGCCUGAUGGAGCAACGCCGCGUGGGUGAAGAAGGUCUUCUGAUCGUAAAACCCUGUUGUUAGAGAAGAAAGUGCGUGCGAGUAACUGUUCACGUUUCGACGGUAUCUACCCAGAAAGCCCCGGCUAACUACGUGCCAGCAGCCGCGGUAAUAGGUAGGUGGCAAGCGUUAUCCGGAUUUAUUGGGGGUAAAGGGAACGCUGGCGGUCUUUUGAGUCUGGUGUGAAGGCCUUGGGCUUAACCGGAGGAGUGCAUUGGAAACUGGGGGACUUGAGUGCAGAAGAGGAGAGUGGAACGCCAUGUGUAGCGGUGAAAUGCGUAGAUAUAUGGAAGAACACCAGUGGCGAAGGCGGCUCUCUGGUCUGUAACUGACGCUGAGGUUCGAAAGCGUGGGUAGCAAACAGGAUUAGAUACCCGUGUAGUC